rnacentral:lncRNA from 1 species
GCGUAUAUUGGUUAUAGGUGAUGCAUAUGUAAUUAUGAAUGCAACAAAAUCCACAAAAUCAUAAUACCAACAUCAUAACUAUCAUCAUCCUAAUUAUAAUCAUCCUCUGACUUUGCCGGGUGUGUGUAUAAAUAUACAUACAUACAUAUAUAUACACUUGUAAUACAUAGGGCUAUCCGGACUAGAACUGGAUGAUAUGCACAUAGACACAUCAAUAUAAUCAUCCUCCAUCUAUGCCUUGUAUCAAUAUAAUUGUCAUAACAUCCUCUAGCCUUGUUGGGUAUUAUCACAUCAUCAUAAUUUCCUCCGGC